rnacentral:tRNA from 1 species
GCCCCCGUAGUUCAACGGAUAGAACAGCGCACUCCUAACGCGCGGAUCGAAGUUCAAUUCUUCGCGAGGGCACAA